GGGAGAGAACUGGCGGUAGCACGCACGCGGGAGAGAGAAACAGAAAAGGGCACUGUGCAAAUUAGGGCACUUGCCGGAAUUUUGAUCGGACGUUUGGACGGCCAAACGAUCUCCGUUUUGGCCCAAAUUCGGAGGAAAUACUCUAUUCGACUAGACGAACAAGCCUGCGGUGGCUGAUUUUGUUUUUAACGGUCAAAUUUUCAGAUCUGAGAUGCAAAUAUCUCUCCUGAGGAUCCACAGGUGGGACAGGGAGGACUUCAGGAUGCUCCUGGAGCGGCCUAGUGGAGCGUGACAUUUAUUUGUUAUUGUGUUCCUUUUUGGAUUUUGGGGAUUUGUUUUAGCAAUUAUGACUCAUGGAUUUGCUAUGAAGCUUUAUUUGAUUAAGUUGUUAAUUGUGAACUUUUAUUGUGGACUAUAAUGAAUAUUUAUUUAAUCUUGUUGUUUUGAGUAGUUUUGGGAUAUUGUAAUUUAUGAGAAUUCUAGUGAGAUGUAUAAAAAAAAAAAAAAUCCAGAGUGUUUUGGUUGACUGCCAACAUGGAAUAGGAGGAACCCUUAGGGUCAAACCUUUGACCUGGGGUCACGGGUCAAAUUUUGGGUCGCCCGGAAUUUGGGUCGUGACAUACUUGCUCAUCCAGUUGCUGCUGCAAAUACUCCUUCGACCUGGGGAAUUCUCUGAAGCUGCCUCUGAACUUAUUCUAUGUUGUAAGAAAGCCUUCUCUCCUUCGGAUCUCCUUGAAUCCUCUGGUGAAGACGAGUUAUAUGGUGAUGAAACACAUAAGUUAAUGGAUGUCCUUGUAGAUACAUUACUCUCAUUGUUGCCAGAGUCAUCAGCUCCAAUGCGAUCCGCCAUUGAGCAGGUUUUUUUUUUUAAUAUUUCUGUGAUGAUGUCACGGAUGAUGGACUGCUUCGGAUGUUGCGUGUCAUUAAGAAAGACCUAAAACCUGCUAGACAUCCGGAUGCAGAGAGUGAAGAUGAUAGCGAUGAUGAUGAUGAUUUUCUCGAUAUUGAAGAAGCUGAGUGAAGAGAACACCAUUCUACCUCUACAUGGCUGAGAUGUUGAUGCAAAGGAAGGAUGGUCGCCACAGUUCUCCAGCAAUAUUCGCAGCAGAUCGAGUUAUUCAUGUGUUCAUGUUUGGGAAAGGGUGUUAGGGACAUACAGGAAAUUACAAGAGAUCCUCUUCACAGGCAGAGGUGGAAUAUUAUGCAUUCAGUGCCCAAGGUGCCCCAAGUUUAUGCUUCUAGUCUGCAUGGCUUGCUUAGUCACUCC